AGUGAACGCUGGCGGUAGGCCUAACACAUGCAAGUCGAACGGCAGCACAGAGGAGCUUGCUCCUUGGGUGGCGAGUGGCGGACGGGUGAGGAAUACAUCGGAAUCUACUCUGUCGUGGGGGAUAACGUAGGGAAACUUACGCUAAUACCGCAUACGACCUACGGGUGAAAGCAGGGGACCUUCGGGCCUUGCGCGAUUAAAUGAGCCGAUGUCGGAUUAGCUAGUUGGCGGGGUAAAGGCCCACCAAGGCGACGAUCCGUAGCUGGUCUGAGAGGAUGAUCAGCCACACUGGAACUGGGACGCGGUCCAGACUCCUACGGGAGGCAGCAGUGGGGAAUAUUGGACAAUGGGCGCAAGCCUGAUCCAGCCAUACCGCGUGGGUGAAGAAGGCCUUCGGGUUGUAAAGCCCUUUUGUUGGGAAAGAAAUCCAGCUGGCUAAUACCCGGUUGGGAUGACGGUACCCAAAGAAUAAGCACCGGCUAACUUCGUGCCAGCCGCCGCCGUAA
rnacentral:rRNA from 1 species